CUGCGUGAAUCAGCUGCAGAAUCGUGACGAACCUCGCAGGCACUCGGGGAUCGCCCGUCGUUUUCUUGGUUUUUUUUUUUAUAAAAAUUGUUUUACUGACGCGCGUUUCAUAUACACGAAAACUAGCACGUGAACCGUGAUUUUUUUUCGUUCCCGAGUUCGAUCGUUUCGACGUGCGAAAAUCAUUUGCCAGUCGAAUCGAGCGUACAUAUUGAGGUUGUUAACGAUAUCGUAUUAUAUUAUUAUAAUAUUUACAUGCGAAUCGACAUUUCGCGAAAAUUCCAUUAGCAAAGAAGUUCGCGAAAACGUUCGUAAGUACGAAACUGUAUAAUUUUUACGCCACGCUACACAUCAUGACGACCUGCAAAUCUUGUAUCGUGUUGAUGAGCUCACUAGUCCUGCUAUCCUGCACGCCGCGAUCUGCGGUCGCAGUUCAGACGGACGCACAAGCAAUGAUGUAUUUAUCUCAAUUUGGUUAUUUGAGCCCUUCAAUGAAAAAUCCAAAUUCAGGUCAUAUCAUGUCUGAAGAAACAAUGGCUCGAGCGUUAAUGGAGUUUCAAUCAUUCGUUGGUCUAAAUCUGACAGGUCACUUGGAUGACGAAACGCUACACUAUAUGAGUAUGCCUAGAUGUGGUGUCCGAGAUAAAGUGGGAUUCGCCACAGACUCCAGGUCUAGGAGAUAUGCUCUACAAGGUAGUCGGUGGAGGGUGAAAGACUUGACGUAUAAAAUAUCCAAGUAUCCUAAACUACUGGGUAAGUCGGAAACGGACUCGGAAAUCCGGAAAGCAUUCGACGUAUGGUCUGAAGUUACACCGUUGACGUUUACUCACAAAAAGUCUGGACAAGUGCACAUCGAAAUCAGAUUUGAAAAAGGUGAACAUGGCGAUGGUGAUCCAUUCGACGGACCAGGUGGAACUUUAGCACAUGCUUUUUUUCCAGUUUAUGGUGGUGAUGCUCAUUUUGAUGAUUCGGAAAAAUGGUCAAUUGGUUCAUUUAAAGGUACUAACUUGUUUCAAGUAGCAGCUCAUGAAUUUGGUCACUCAUUAGGAUUAUCUCAUUCGGAUGUCCGGUCUGCAUUAAUGGCACCAUUCUAUAGAGGUUACAAUCCGUCAUUUAGUUUGGAUAGCGAUGACAUAGAAGCCAUUCAGGCUCUGUAUGGUGCUAACUCCGCGUCAGAAGGAUCAGACAAUGACGACGACAGCACUGGCCAAGGAUCAGGUAAAAAGACAACAACGCAAGAACCGCCAGGCGCAGAGGGCAGCGACGCUGAAUUAUGUACAGAUACUAAAGUGAACGCUUUGUUCAAUUCAGCCAACGGCGAAACUUUUGUGUUUAAAGGUGAUUAUUAUUGGAAGUUAACGGACGACGGACUUGCUCAAGGAUUCCCCAAGCCUAUCGCAGGCACGUGGUCUGGCCUUCCAGGCAACAUAGACGCUGCAUUUACAUAUAAAAACGGUAAAACUUAUUUCUUCAAAGGCACAAAAUAUUGGAAGUACACUGACACUACAAUGGAUGAUGGGUAUCCAAAAGACAUAGCCGAAGGCUUUGCCGGUAUCCCGGAUAAUAUUGACGCCGCUCUUGUAUGGAGUGGAAACGGAAAGAUUUACUUUUUCAAAGGCUCAAAAUUUUGGAAAUUCGACCCAAUGCAAAAACCUCCUGUAAAGAGCACAUACCCGAAGCCUAUUAGUAAUUGGGAUGGUAUACCAGAUAAUAUAGAUGCAGCUUUGCAUUACACUAAUGGCUAUACAUAUUUCUUCAAAGAUGAAAAUUAUUAUAGGUUCAAUGACAGGACAUUUGCAGUUGAUAUUGCGGACCCACCUUUCCCCCGUAAUGCUGGAUAUUGGUGGUUCGGCUGUAGAGCUGAAAAUAAGGGACAUCGGAAAGAAAUGACCGCUGUGCCCAGUAUACUUAGACCGACGUGGAUGGAAGUGAGACGAGAUCACAAGGGCAAUCAAAACACAGAUGUCGGUGAUCUGAUAUUGGACGCAGCUGCAUAAACAAGUUGUUCGGUGUUGAACGAUUCGCUCGCAUUAUGGAUAUUGGUAUGCUGGUAUAUGCUGAAGAAGAUAGUGGCCACACAAGUAUUUUGAAAAUGUGAUACUGUGCGGGGGACCGCAUCGAUUUAUUAUAUUGUUUGUUGAAUGUUUUGGACACGGUGUAAUACCUUACCUACACGUCAAGUGCCGAAUACAACUACUGGACCUACCGAGUUAUCGACCGACUGCAACGCCACCGUGCCGGACGUAUAUUUUUUUGUAUAUAUUGGUAUGCCUAUACAAAUAUGAAAAAAAAACAAAUAAUUGUUAUUAGGAUUCAAAAGGUCUUUGUACAGCCUUUAAUAUUUAUUCCGAACUUUGAAUGUACGAGUUCAGCGUUGGGUCGACUUUUUAAGAGACUGAAUUUUACACUUCGUUAUAUAAUAUUAUAUACCUGUAUUUAAGACAAUUUUAUAUUUAGUUUUUA